GGCUUCCUGGUGUAAAUGGUUAUCACGUCAGUCUAACAACGUUCAAUCCGUUCGUCUGCUCACUGAAGGUACUCGGAUCGAUCCCGGGGGAAGUCA